UACAGAGGGUGCGAGCGUUAAUCGGAAUUACUGGGCGUAAAGGGCGCGUAGGCGGUUAUUUAAGUUAGGUGUGAAAAUUCUGGGCUUAACCUGGGACUUGCAUUUAAUACUGGAUGACUAGAAUAGAGUAGAGGGAAGUGGAAUUUCCGGUGUAGCGGUGAAAUGCGUAGAUAUCGGAAAGAACACCAGUGGCGAAGGCGGCUUCCUGGACUCAUAUUGACGCUGAGGCGCGAAAGCAUGGGGAGCAAACAGG
rnacentral:misc_RNA from 1 species